UGGCGAACGGGUGAGUAACGCGUGAGGAACCUGCCUCAAAGAGGGGGACAACAGUUGGAAACGACUGCUAAUACCGCAUAAGCCCACGACCCGGCAUCGGGAAGAGGGAAAAGGAGCAAUCCGCUUUGAGAUGGCCUCGCGUCCGAUUAGCUAGUUGGUGAGGUAACGGCCCACCAAGGCAACGAUGGAUAGGGGUUCUGAGAGGAAGGUCCCCCACAUUGGAACUGAGACACGGUCCAA
rnacentral:rRNA from 1 species